UUCCUUCUGAAUGCCAGCGGCUUCAAGUUCAAGACAACAAGGCACCUGCCCGCCGAUCGGUGCAGCAGCGGCUGCUGUUUGAGUGAGUGUAACUUACCAGGCAGGUAAAUAUCAUCUCUGUGUGUGUGUCGUGUUCAACAGAUGAUUUGCACUGACUGACUGACUUCUUAUUUACGCGUGACAUCGCGACAACCUGUGACAGGUCUAGGAGUGGCAUUCUGGAUGCGUCGAUCCUCCGUUUCAUCUGCGCUUUUUAAACGCUUCAGUUCGGUUCGGUUUACUUAGUUAAUUUUCUUACCGAGCGCCGAACAACAAAGCAAGACAAAUAGACAGCUGCUGGCGAUAUGAAAUUGCUGCGACAGCUGCGCAGUUAUCACAGCUGUAACCGGCCACAGCUCAGCUGUUUCACCACGCGCUACAAGUCCGUCUUUACAAAUUCGUGACGCUGCGUUCAAGUUCGCAGAAGCCCAGAAGGGUCGAUCAUUCGUACACCAGUUAACUUUGCACAUCCCCCCCGCCCGGCGAUCGAUUCCUCCAGUUCAGCCACUCGCAGGGCAAGUAGUGGGCGCAGCGCGCAUCUGUCCGCGAGGAGGUGUGGCCCACUUGUCAGAGCUGACGUGUUGUUAGGUGGCAUCUGUCGGAAAGGCUGGCACCAGCACUUCUUGCCCCUGCUGCACACUGCUGAAAUCUCCACUCUUUUUAGUGCCUCCCUCAGAUUGCUCCUCUUGCCUAUCGCUUGUCCAGGAAGGGCGGGUGAGUCCGCGCCACCGAGCUGUGAGCAAACAUGGGCCGGCUGGAUGAUGCUGCCAAGCGCAAGGUGGUGGAGCUGCGACAGGCAGGCCUGAGUUUCCGCAAGAUCAAGGCCGUCCUGGAGCUGGAGAACAUCAAGGUGUCCGCCCAGGCCAUCUACCUCUUUCUGAAGGAGUUCCAGGGGAAGGUCAGGCCCGAAGAAGCAGGGCCCGGGGGUGCGGUGGUGCCGCCGAGCGCGGAAGCAGGGACUGCUAAUGCUGGGAGGCAGACAGGGUGGACGGACCAGCAGCUGUGCACAAUGAUGAGGGAGGGGCCACGUGGUAUCAGCUAUGCUGCCUCUGUGAAUUCUGUGCUUGCGCGGACAAGGGAUGCACCCACACCCUUGGGCUCCACUGGUACCAGCGGCACAGCGGUUCAGGAUGAGGAGGGGAUCCGAAUUGUAAGUGUGACCUCGCUUGCCCGUGGUUCCCAGCCUGAAGGGGGCCCCCAGGCAGCUGCAGCUGGACCCUCCGCUGGCCCGUCAACAGGUGGAGCUGCGGCGAGGAGAAAAAUCCUCCUGUCACCAGUGUCCAACUGCAUCCUGGCAGCUCGCAGGAGGCUGCUGGACAAGGCCCUGCUCCACAAGGCUCGGAUAAGAGAGAUGGUUCCUGUGUCUGGCCAGCCGGUGGCGGCAUUGUGUAGAAGGGACCUGUCUUGCCAGGCAAGUUCUGAAGCUCGGAAAGUCUCUAUAUUGACUCAGAGUCCGUCCUUUGGCCUAAACCCACCUCGACCUGCUCUUACGAGGAGCCGCCCCGGAGCCCCUGCUGCCAGUCCUGCCCGGCGGAUGUUCCAGCAGCGGGCUGGGCUGUCAUUCCGCUCCCUGCACCCACCUCUCCAGAGGGACCCGCUUUCUUGUGCUGGAGUUCGUGGGAGCAACCCUGUGCCAUCUCCUCCUGCUGCCCAGGGUACAAGCAUGAGUGGCAUCAGAGCACAGCAGCCCCCCAACCAGCCCCCCAGUGCCACCCCACAGAAACAAGCCCCAGAACCAGUGGUCCGGUGUGGGCUGCAGGACCAGGUGCAGACUCUGGGAGCAGAGCUCCGAAACCUGGGUGCUGCCAUGCAGCUGCUGGCAGAGCAGCAGGGGCGCCUGGAACGUGAACAGGCUGCACAGACCCAAGUGCAAAGGCAGAUCCUAAGUACGCUCCAGGGCAUUGCCUCCAGGCUGGGCCCUGCAGCUCAGCACCACAGCAGAACCCCCCCACCCCCUGGAUCCUCCUCUUACAGCCAGAGCUCCUUUGUUCCCACGUCAUCCAAUUACAGCCAGGGCAGCCCAGCCCAGUCGAAGUCCUGUGCAGUGGACAGCUCUGGCCUGUGUGCUCUGGAGACCUUCAAACUAACAGGCCUGAGCCCUCAGGCAGUGAAUGGUUUUCCAUCGUGCAGCAGUGAUGCUCCCCCUCUGAGUACCGCAGCCACGUUCUCACAGUCACAGACCCAUACUGUGGCAUACACACAGUCGCAAGCGACAGCAUACAGCCAGUCAUACAAGCUGUCGUGCAAGGAGGAGCGCCACCCUGAGCCUUUAGACCCUCUGCACAACUGCAGUCUGUCAGCUCGAUCCUCCACCAAUGCAGGUUCGCCUGUCUCCUCGUCACCACAGGACCCACAGUUCACCAUCGUUAAGGCAGAGACACUCUGAAACAACAGUUCAGUUUACAGUGGGUUAUAUCAUAUGUGGCUAAAGCCAUUCAAGUUUAAGAAACACACAAAAAUUGUCUUACCCACAAGAGACUGUUUUGAUGUCAAUAGGCAAAAACAAUAUUUAACAUAAUGCAGAUGUUAAGUGGGUUGGUACCAACAGGACUGAAGAAUCUUUUGUCUAGACUGUUUCCCCACAUGCCUAGGUCUGCCAGCAUGUUCUAAAGUAGAUAAAGAUCUAUAUGGUCAAAGACUCUUCCAGCACUCAUGGUCAUUUCUGCGUUUUAUACUGUGUAAAUUCCUAUUCAAUCUUUUAACUGUUUAUAAAGCCAGAUUUGGUUACUUGGAUAAAAGCUGGAUGUUAAAAAUAUUAAUGUGCAUCUUUGUUUAUCAAAUGUUUUACACCUAACCAUACUGUAGGAGAAAAGACCUCUUGGAGCACCCUUGUAUAUUUCAGCAGUGUCACUGUGCCACUGUGUUACAUUCACAUGAAUUUUUGAAAAAAAAUUUUCUGUUAGUUUCUUCUUUGCUUUAUUUCUCCCUUUUUAUUAACAAAAGAACAGCACUAGGUCAAAGUAACAUGGAGACAAUUUCCGAAAUUUCUGUUGCAUAGCAAACACUAUCUUCAUUUCUACACCAAGAUAUAAACUAGCAGGAAAAUGUACCAACCAGAUGAAUCAUGUGGGUCCAAAUUAAUUCAACUCACUUCCGCAAGUGUUUACAGCUUGUGUUUGCUGUUCCUAGGUGUUGGUGAUCAAUAGCAAGGUGAGAAACAUUGCACAUUUAGCCUUACAGAAAAUUUUUGAUUUAUUAUAGUUAUCCAAGACUUUUAGAGAACCUACCUUAGUCACGGCACAUCUUUUUUUAUUGAAUAAUAAAGGAAACUGAAAGUGGCCA
rnacentral:lncRNA from 1 species